UAACAUCAUGUUAAUUUCUUUAGUAAUAGAUGAUGAUCUCACCGCAGGGAGAUGAAGUAGAGAGGAAGUGCUGCUGCAGAGGGAGUUUUUCUUGGAAUAUCAGUAGGAAAGGCAAGAAAACAGUACUGACUUAACCCCACAUAAGGAUGUAGUUUUUAAUUCUCACAGAAGGAUUUAUGUGCUGAUUGUCUGGGCUUUAUGGAGAGCCUUCACUGGAAAUGUCUCAGGUGGUUUUGAUUGAGCUGCAGGGAGAAGUAUUUUUUGUGCUGUCUUGAAUGGGAGGGUUUGUGUGGAAUCUUCUGACAGAUGCUACGCUCCUAGUCUGUGGGAGAUUAUUCUCUGUCAACAUACUGCUAUGUAAAGAGAAAACAUGUUUUCAGUUGUUUGGUUUUUUUAUUUUUUUAUUUUUUUUUCUGAUGCAGUAUUAGGAUUUGCAUGUGUUUGGUCUUUCGCUAUCACAGGCAGCACAUUUUUCUGUAAUGAUGCAGCAAAAAGCGUGUCUCCUUGAGAGCAGACAUGCGUUUUUGUGGGUUGAAAGAGCAAUUGUUUACUGAAAAGCAGUGCACAGAGCAGUGUAUACACAGAGCAGUUACUACAGGCAGUGGUACAAGAUGUCACAGUAGCAAUUCUGAGUUCAGCAUCAUUAAUGAGGAGUUAAACAGUCAGGUUACAUACAUUUUUUCAUUAUAAACCUUUAAUUAGAGGCAAAAAAAUAUUACAUUGAACUUUUGCUAUGGAAUGGCUGCAGUUACAAAAGAGAUAUUGAUUUAUGAAGCUACCCUGAACAAAACAUUAUUGAAGGUGCUAUAGAGCAUGUUCCAUUAAUAGCAUGUUUCAACUGAAAUAAAUGAAGUAGCACUGGAAUUCCCUUUGAAGGCAUUUUAUCUUUUUAUAUGGUAGAUUACUAUGGAUCACUUUUCAUAUGUUACUUAACCUGCUGAUUUACUCCCCCUUUUCUCUAAAAAGCUCUAAAACUGUUUUGCUCUGUUGAGGCAUUCAGUGAAAGAUCAUCACCUGAGAAAGAGUAUGAAUGAAUCUGGGAUCAAUUUGUAGGUCUGUUGGAUAGAACGCCUCAAGUUCCUGCAGUGCUCUGCAUAGAUAUUUAAGAUUUCCUAGAUUUUAAAGAGCUCUGUUGAACCAUUUGGGAGAGCUGAACAUUACUCAGAGUAAAGCAAAUUUUCAGUUGCAUUCAAAGCAAUAGGUAAAAGUCUGUAUAGACUAAAUGUUAGAUGCUGGGAAACAAACUAAGGCUUACUUCAAAAGAAUAUCUGAAAUGGUUACAAAGCUUGAGUGCAUGCAGACUGUAUGCUGAAGAUAGUUAUGAAAUUACUUAAUACACUUCUCUAGAAUUCAGUGGAAUAAUAAGGGAAUGUUAUCAGACUCUCUCCAUAAGGCUUUUGUAUGCAUAAAACAUUUACCAAAUAGUAGCAAAAGCGAGCAACUGGCUGUUUGUUGUGGUAAUAUGCUUAUUUCAUAGCUGUUCUUAUAGGAGUUCAUAAAGGCUUGAAGGUUCCUGGUACUGCUGUCAUUGCAUAGUCAGUGAGCUUUUGUCUUUCCACUUACCUUAUUUAUUGUUAACAGCACAAAAUAGAACAUAGUUGAAAUUAUGUAUAUGUGUGAUGUAUUUUGAUGGGGACACCUGCACAUCUUUUUAGUGCUUUCCAGAAGGAUGCCAGGAGUUUGUUCUGGUUCAGACCCUUUGUGUGCUCAGCAGAGGAAUGGAGACAGCUCCUUUGCAAUUCUCUUGUGACUGCACAGAUUCACCAUGUAAGAACAGCCUUUGCCUCAUUUUCUCCAACAGCAAAGCUGACCCUCAGCAUUAAAAACCAAAUGGAGCAAAUGAGCCAGCUUGAGAGAGAUGCUUCCUUUCCACGACUGCUGUGCUUGUUUGUACUCUGCUGCUUGCUGCUUUUGUGAAUGUGCACUUGCUUCUUUGGAUAUCUGUCAUUCAUUUCUAUCAUACUUUGAAGGGGGACGUGGAUGCUUCCUUCAUAUAAGUACUGUUCACUUUACUAUAUAAGUAGUGCUGGUUUACUACAAGAGCUGAGACUGGAUUUAGUGGGCCAUUUAGUGAAAAACAAAACAAAAAAAAAAAUCUGAAAAUCUAAAAUAACCUCCCCCCCCCCAAAAAAAAAAACAACAAACAAAACAAAACCAAAUAAUGAAACAAACAAACAAAAAACAACAACAACCAUAAAACUCACCAGCCUUCACAGCAAGAAAGACAUUGGGGCCCUGGAA